GAUGAACGCUGGCGGCGUGCCUAAUACAUGCAAGUCGAGCGAACGGACGAGAAGCUUGCUUCUCUGAUGUUAGCGGCGGGCGGGUGAGUAACACGUGGAUAACCUACCUAUAAGACUGGGAUAACUUCGGGAAACCGGAGCUAAUACCGGAUAAUAUUUUGAACCGCAUGGUUCAAAAGUGAAAGACGGUCUUGCUGUCACUUAUAGAUGGAUCCGCGCUGCAUUAGCUAGUUGGUAAGGUAACGGCUUACCAAGGCAACGAUGCAUAGCCGACCUGAGAGGGUGAUCGGCCACACUGGAACUGAGACACGGUCCAGACUCCUACGGGAGGCAGCAGUAGGGAAUCUUCCGCAAUGGGCGAAAGCCUGACGGAGCAACGCCGCGUGAGUGAAGAAGGUCUUCGGAUCGUAAAACUCUGUUAUUAGGGAAGAACAUAUGUGUAAGUAACUGUGCACAUCUUGACGGUACCUAAUCAGGAAGCCACGGCUAACUACGUG
rnacentral:rRNA from 1 species